rnacentral:rRNA from 1 species
AAGACCCCAAUGCGUCGCGGAUGCG